rnacentral:rRNA from 1 species
CGUACACUCCUGCGGGAGGCAGCAGUGGGGAAUAUUGGACAAUGGGCGCAAGCCUGAUCCAGCCAUGCCGCGUGAGUGAUGAAGGCCCUAGGGUUGUAAAGCUCUUUCACCGGUGAAGAUAAUGACGGUAACCGGAGAAGAAGCCCCGGCUAACUUCGUGCCAGCAGCCGCGGUAAUACGAAGGGGGCUAGCGUUGUUCGGAUUUACUGGGCGUAAAGCGCACGUAGGCGGACUAUUAAGUCAGGGGUGAAAUCCCGGGGCUCAACCCCGGAACUGCCUUUGAUACUGGUAGUCUUGAGUUCGAGAGAGGUGAGUGGAAUUCCGAGUGUAGAGGUGAAAUUCGUAGAUAUUCGGAGGAACACCAGUGGCGAAGGCGGCUCACUGGCUCGAUACUGACGCUGAGGUGCGAAAGCGUGGGGAGCAAACAGGAUUAGAAACCCGUGAAGUCCCAU